rnacentral:rRNA from 1 species
AAAUUGAAGAGUUUGAUCAUGGCUCAGAUUGAACGCUGGCGGCAGGCCUAACACAUGCAAGUCGAGCGGAAACGACACUAACAAUCCUUCGGGUGCGUUAAUGGGCGUCGAGCGGCGGACGGGUGAGUAAUGCCUAGGAAAUUGCCUUGAUGUGGGGGAUAACCAUUGGAAACGAUGGCUAAUACCGCAUGAUGCCUAUGGGCCAAAGAGGGGGACCUUCGGGCCUCUCGCGUCAAGAUAUGC